UCGAAAAGUAGUGUCCUUUGGAGCAAAAAGGUACCUUUUGUUUGAAUGGUUGCACCAUUUCGAGUUGAGCCAAUUGGGAGUGGUUGCACCAUUUCGAGUUGAGCCGAAUGGUUUGCAUUGGUUCGGCCGCACCAAUUCAGACCAGUCAGACCAAUCGAGAUGGGCUUCGAGUAAUAAGGGCCCAA